rnacentral:lncRNA from 1 species
AAGUGAGAUAAGGAAGAGACAGAGGCAAAAGCCAUGAAAGCUGGCAGGGACUGCUUCUCUAAGUACUCAAAGGCCAGGCAGGAAGGGAGCAUUUAUCUCCUGAGAGGAAGUGUCUGCAGGACUUGCAAACCCUGUGAGAAAAUCAUCACAGGAGCUGGACUCAAACACCGCCCCUAGUACACUCAGCACAAAAGUUGCGAGUUGAAACCAGAGAGUGAGACUUUUUUUUAAAUUAUUAUUAUUUUAUUACUGGGUAUUUAUUUCAUUUACAUUUCCAAUGCUAUCCCAAAAGUCCCCCACACCCUCCCACAACCACCCCCCCCACCCACUCCCACCUCUUGGCCCUGGUGAUCCCCUGUGAGAGUGAGACUUUUAAGACAGUGACGGUCAAGAUAACCACUUCCAUUGUGUUGUUUCCUCUCUGACCUUGAAACUUGGCAUGUGUUUCUCAGAAAGAGUUCCCUAGUUUUUGUUUUGUUUUGUUUUAAGAUUUAUUUAAUAUAUGUGAGUACAUUGUUGCUAUCUUCAGACACACCAGAAAGAGGGCACCGGAUCUCAUUACAGUUGGUUGUGAGCCACCAUGUGGUUGCUGGAAAUUGAAUUCAGGACCUCUGGAAGAGCAAUCAGUGCUCUUAACCACUGAGCCAUCUCUCCAGCCCCUUGUUUUGUUUUUUGAAAGAGGGUUUCUCUUAUAUAGUCCUGGCUGUCCUGGAACCUGCUCUGUAGAUCAGGCUAGUCUCGAACUCAGAGAUCUGCUUGCCUCUCUGCCUUCUAAGUGCUGGGAUUAAAUGCAUGCUCCACCAUUGCCAGAUGGCUCAGUAUUUUUUAAUACAGACAGAAUUGGGGGCUGGAGAGAUGGAUCAGUGUUUCAGAGCACUUGCUGUUCUUACAGAGGAUCCAGGGCCUGUUCUUAGCACCCACAUGGUGGCUCACUGUCUAUAACCACAGUUCCGGGUGAUCUGACUCCCUCUUCUGGCCUCCACACAUACCAGGCACUCAGCACAGGAACAGGAAGAUGCCUCUGAGUUUGAAGCCAGUCUGGUACAUAGUGAGUCCCAUGCCAGCCAAAGCUGCUGAGUGAGAUUCUGUCUUAACCCCUGACAAGUGACACCUCCAAACUCC